AUUGAACGCUGGCGGCAUGCUUUACACAUGCAAGUCGAACGGUAACAGGGUGCUUGCACCGCUGACGAGUGGCGAACGGGUGAGUAAUGCAUCGGAAUGUACCGUGUAAUGGGGGAUAGCUCGGCGAAAGCCGGAUUAAUACCGCAUACGCCCUGAGGGGGAAAGUGGGGGACCGAAAGGCCUCACGUUAUACGAGCAGCCGAUGUCUGAUUAGCUAGUUGGUGAGGUAAAGGCUCACCAAGGCGUCGAUCAGUAGCGGGUCUGAGAGGAUGAUCCGCCACACUGGGACUGAGACACGGCCAAGACUACUACGGGAGGCAGCAGUGGGGAAUUUUGGACAAUGGGCGCAAGCCUGAUCCAGCCAUGCCGCGUGUCUGAAGAAGGCCUUCGGGUUGUAAAGGACUUUUGUCCGGGAGCAAAUCCUAGUGGUUAAUAACCGCUGGGUCUGAGAGUACCGGAAGAAUAAGCACCGGCUAACUACGUG
rnacentral:rRNA from 1 species